GUGCUUGCUUCGGCAGCACAUGUACUAAGAUUGUAAUGAUACAGAGAAGAUUAGCAUGGCCCCUGAACAAGGAUGGCACAUAAAUUUGUGAAAAAACAUUUUUAU
ensembl:snRNA U6 U6 spliceosomal RNA